UCCCUGGAGGCUCAGAGGUUAAAGCGUCUGCCUCCAAUACAGGAGACCCAGGUUCGAUCCCUGGGUUGGGAA
rfam:TPA: Bos taurus chromosome 2, whole genome shotgun sequence.